UACGUAGGGUGCGAGCGUUAAUCGGAAUUACUGGGCGUAAAGCGCACGUAGGCGGCUUUCUAAGUCAGGUGUGAAAUCCUGGAGCUCAACUCCAGAACUGCCUUUGAUACUGGAGAGCUUGAGUCCGGAAGAGGUGAGUGGAACUCCGAGUGUAGAGGUGAAAUUCGUAGAUAUUCGGAAGAACACCAGUGGCGAAGGCGGCUCACUGGUCCGGUACUGACGCUGAGGUGCGAAAGCGUGGGGAGCAAACAGG
rnacentral:rRNA from 1 species